GAUGAACGCUGGCGGCGUGCCUAAUACAUGCAAGUCGAACGAAACUUCUUUAUCACCGAGUGCUUGCACUCACCGAUAAAGAGUUGAGUGGCGAACGGGUGAGUAACACGUGGGCAACCUGCCCAAAAGAGGGGGAUAACACUUGGAAACAGGUGCUAAUACCGCAUAACCAUAGUUACCGCAUGGUAACUAUGUAAAAGGUGGCUAUACUACCGCUUUUGGAUGGGCCCGCGGCGCAUUAGCUAGUUGAUAGGGUAAAGGCUUACCAAGGCAAUGAUGCGUAGCCGAAUUGAGAGGUUGAUCGGCCACAUUGGGACUGAGACACGGCCCAAACUCCUACGGGAGGCAGCAGUAGGGAAUCUUCCACAAUGGGCGAAAGCCUGAUGGAGCAACGCCGCGUGGGUGAAGAAGGUCUUCGGAUCGUAAAACCCUGUUGUUAGAGAAGAAAGUGCGUGAGAGUAACUGUUCACGUUUCGACGGUAUCUAACCAAAAAGCCACUGCUAACUACGUG
rnacentral:rRNA from 1 species